rnacentral:misc_RNA from 1 species
UUUCCGUAGGUGAACCUGCGGAAGGAUCAUUAUUGAAUGAAACACUUCUGGCUUUAUGCUGUUGUGCUGGCCCUUUGGGCAAUGUGCACACGGCUCUGGUCACUUGUUUCUUCUGUUCCACCUGUGCACUGCCUGUAGACACGCUGUGUCUAUGAUAUUUGUUAACACACAACAAUGUUAGUUGGCAUGUUAUAUAUAAUAAUAAAAUAUACAACUUUCAACAAUGGAUCUCUUGGCUCUC